rnacentral:rRNA from 1 species
ACGCUGGCGGCAGGCCCAACACAUGCAAGUCGAGCGGUAGAGAGAAGCUUGCUUCUCUUGAGAGCGGCGGACGGGUGAGUAAUGCCUAGGAAUCUGCCUGGUAGUGGGGGAUAACGUUCGGAAACGGACGCUAAUACCGCAUACGUCCUACGGGAGAAAGCAGGGGACCUUCGGGCCUUGCGCUAUCAGAUGAGCCUAGGUCGGAUUAGCUAGUUGGUGGGGUAAUGGCUCACCAAGGCGACGAUCCGUAACUGGUCUGAGAGGAUGAUCAGUCACACUGGAACUGAGACACGGUCCAGACUCCUACGGGAGGCAGCAGUGGGGAAUAUUGGACAAUGGGCGAAAGCCUGAUCCAGCCAUGCCGCGUGUGUGAAGAAGGUCUUCGGAUUGUAAAGCACUUUAAGUUGGGAGGAAGGGUUGUAGAUUAAUACUCUGCAAUUUUGACGUUACCGACAGAAUAAGCACCGGCUAACUCUGUGCCAGCAGCCGCGGUAAUACAGAGGGUGCAAGCGUUAAUCGGAAUUACUGGGCGUAAAGCGCGCGUAGGUGGUUAGUUAAGUUGGAUGUGAAAUCCCCGGGCUCAACCUGGGAACUGCAUUCAAAACUGACUGACUAGAGUAUGGUAGAGGGUGGUGGAAUUUCCUGUGUAGCGGUGAAAUGCGUAGAUAUAGGAAGGAACACCAGUGGCGAAGGCGACCACCUGGACUGAUACUGACACUGAGGUGCGAAAGCGUGGGGAGCAAAC